rnacentral:rRNA from 1 species
GACGAACGCUGGCGGCGUGCUUAACACAUGCAAGUCGAACGGAAAGGCCCUGCUUGCAGGGUACUCGAGUGGCGAACGGGUGAGUAACACGUGGGUGAUCUGCCCUGCACUUCGGGAUAAGCCUGGGAAACUGGGUCUAAUACCGGAUAGGAGCCAUUUUUAGUGUGAUGGUUGGAAAGUUUUUUCGGUGUAGGAUGAGCUCGCGGCCUAUCAGCUUGUUGGUGGGGUAAUGGCCUACCAAGGCGGCGACGGGUAGCCGGCCUGAGAGGGUGGACGGCCAAAAUGGGGAUGGAGUACGGGCCAGGCUCCUACGGGGGGCAACAGUGGGGAAUAUUGCACAAUGGGCGCAAGCCUGAUGCAGCGACGCCGCGUGGGGGAUGACGGGCUUCGGGUUGUAAACUCCUUUCGCUAGGGACGAAGCUUUUUGUGACGGUACCUAGAUAAGAAGCACCGGCUAACUACGUG